AACAGGAAGCAGCUUGCUGCUUCGCUGACGAGUGGCGGACGGGUGAGUAAUGUCUGGGAAACUGCCUGAUGGAGGGGGAUAACUACUGGAAACGGUAGCUAAUACCGCAUAACGUCGCAAGACCAAAGAGGGGGACCUUAGGGCCUCUUGCCAUCGGAUGUGCCCAGAUGGGAUUAGCUAGUAGGUGGGGUAACGGCUCACCUAGGCGACGAUCCCUAGCUGGUCUGAGAGGAUGACCAGCCACACUGGAACUGAGACACGGUCCAGACUCCUACGGGAGGCAGCAGUGGGGAAUAUUGCACAAUGGGCGCAAGCCUGAUGCAGCCAUGCCGCGUGUAUGAAGAAGGCCUUCGGGUUGUAAAGUACUUUCAGCGGGGAGGAAGGGAGUAAAGUUAAUACCUUUGCUCAUUGACGUUACCCGCAGAAGAAGCACCGGCUAACUCCGUGCCAGCAGCCGCGGUAAUACGGAGGGUGCAAGCGUUAAUCGGAAUUACUGGGCGUAAAGCGCACGCAGGCGGUUUGUUAAGUCAGAUGUGAAUCCCCGGGCUCAACCUGGGAACUGCAUCUGAUACUGGCAAGCUUGAGUCUCGUAGAGGGGGGUAGAAUUCCAGGUGUAGCGGUGAAAUGCGUAGAGAUCUGGAGGAAUACCGGUGGCGAAGGC
rnacentral:rRNA from 1 species